rnacentral:tRNA from 1 species
GGAGAGAUGGCAGAGUGGCCGAAUGCGCACGCUUGGAAAGCGUGUAUACCGCAAGGUAUCCAGGGUUCGAAUCCCUGUCUCUCCG